rnacentral:rRNA from 1 species
GGCCUCUUCGGAGGUACUCGAGCGGCGAACGGGUGAGUAACACGUGAGUAAUCUGCCCUGCGCUCUGGGAUAGCCACCGGAAACGGUGAUUAAUACCGGAUAGGACCACUUCACGCAUGUGAUGGUGGUGGAAAGUUUUUUCGGCGCAGGAUGUGCUCGCGGCCUAUCAGCUUGUUGGUGAGGUAACGGCUCACCAAGGCUUUGACGGGUAACCGGCCUGAGAGGGUGACCGGUCACACUGGGACUGAGACACGGCCCAGACUCCUACGGGAGGCAGCAGUGGGGAAUAUUGGACAAUGGGCGGAAGCCUGAUCCAGCAACGCCGCGUGAGGGAUGACGGCCUUCGGGUUGUAAACCUCUUUCAGUACCGACGAAGCGCAAGUGACGGUAGGUACAGAAGAAGGACCGGCCAACUACGUGCCAGCAGCCGCGGUAAUACGUAGGGUCCGAGCGUUGUCCGGAAUUAUUGGGCGUAAAGGGCUCGUAGGCGGUUUGUCGCGUCGGGAGUGAAAACACCGGGCUUAACUCGGUGCUUGCUUUCGAUACGGGCAGACUAGAGGUAUGCAGGGGAGAAUGGAAUUCCUGGUGUAGCGGUGAAAUGCGCAGAUAUCAGGAGGAACACCGGUGGCGAAGGCGGUUCUCUGGGCAUUACCUGACGCUGAGGAGCGAAAGUGUGGGGAGCGAACAGGAUUAGAUACCCUGGUAGUCCACACCGUAAACGUUGGGCGCUAGGUGUGGGG